AGACCGAUAGCGAACAAGUAGAGUGAUCGAAAGAUGAAAAGCACUUUGGAAAGAGAGUUAAAAAGCACGUGAAAUUGUUGAAAGGGAAGCGCUCACAACCAGACUUCUGGGCGGUGUUCCGCCGGUCUUCUGACCGGUCUACUCGCCGUCCCGAGGCCAACAUCAUCUGGGACCGCUGGAUAAGACCGGAGGAAUGUAGCUCCCCUCGGGGAGUGUUAUAGCCUCCGGUGAUGCAGCGCGUCUCGGGUGAGGUCCGCGCUUCGGCAAGGAUGUUGGCGUAAUGGUUGUCAGCGGCCCGUCUUGAAACACGGACCAAG
rnacentral:rRNA from 1 species